UAAACAAACACGCACAAUUAUAAAACAUGUAAUUAACCACACAUUUACUACUUGUUGUACAUAUGCAUGCAGACUCAAUUUUAAACAGAACAUACAUAAACAAACAGUGCAGCACAUACAUAAAUGUAUGCUACACAUAAUCAAGCACACACAAACCAUACACAAGCACACACAUUGUAUAAAACAAACACAAAUGCACAAAUAUAACUGAACAUGCACACAAAGCACCAUACACCACACAUAAAAACAUGCAUACAUAAAUGAACAUAAGCAAGCGAGCAUACAAAAAUCAUGAAGCAGU